rnacentral:rRNA from 1 species
UACGGGGGGGGCGAGCGUUGUUCGGAAUUAUUGGGCGUAAAGGGCGCGUAGGCGGUGCGGUAAGUCUGGUGUGAAACCUCCAGGCUCAACUUGGAGCUUGCAUCAGAAACUGCCGUGCUAGAGUGUGGGAGAGGAGAGUGGAAUUCCUGGUGUAGCGGUGAAAUGCGUAGAUAUCAGGAGGAACACCGGUGGCGAAAGCGGCUCUCUGGACCACAACUGACGCUGAGGCGCGAAAGCUAGGGGAGCAAACAGG